ACUCCUACGGGAGGCAGCAACUGGGAAUAUUGCGCAAUGGGCGAAAGCCUGACGCAGCGACGCCGCGUGCGGGACGAAGACUCUAGGGUCGUAAACCGCUGUGGAGAGGGAAGAUAAUGACGGUACCUCUCUAGAAAGCACCUGCUAACUACGUGCCAGAAGCCUCGGUGAUACGUAGGGUGCAAGCAUUAUCCGGAUUUAUUGGGCGUAAAGAGUAUCGUAGGCGGUAUAGUAAGUGAUUAGUGAAAUCCUUUGGCCCAACCAAAGAACUGCUAGUCAUACUGCUAAACUUGAGUAAUUUCGGGAAGGCUGGAAUUUUCGGUGUAGGGGUGAAAUCCGUUGAUAUCGAAAAGAACACCAAGGGCGAAGGCAGGCCUUUAGGAAUUUACUGACGCUGAUGAACGAAAGCUUGGGGAGCAAAAGGGAUUAGAGACCCCUGUGGUCCAAGCCGUAAACGAUGCCCACUAGAUGGUUUGUUUUUAAUGAACUGUCGUAAGCUAACGCGUUAAGUGGGCCGCCUGGGGAGUACGGUCGCAAGACUAAAACUCAAAGGAAUUGACGGGGAAAUGCACAACCAGGGGAGCAUGUGGUUUAAUUCGAUACAAAGCGAAGAACCUUACCUGGGUUUGACAUCCUGGUGACCGAUUAUGGAAACAUGAUUUUUCUUUUAGACACCAGUGACAGCUGCUGCAUGGCUGUCGUCAGCUCGUANCGUGAGGCGUCNNCUUNNGUGCCGCAACGAGCGCAACCCCCAUCGUAUGUUACAUAUCANACGANACUGCCCGGCUACNANCCGGGAGGANGGAGGGGAUG
rnacentral:rRNA from 1 species